rnacentral:rRNA from 1 species
UACGUAGGGUGCAAGCGUUGUCCGGAAUUAUUGGGCGUAAAGAGCUCGUAGGCGGUCUGUCGCGUCUGCUGUGAAAACUCGGGGCUUAACCCCGGGCCUGCAGUGGGUACGGGCAGACUAGAGUGCGGUAGGGGAGACUGGAAUUCCUGGUGUAGCGGUGAAAUGCGCAGAUAUCAGGAGGAACACCGGUGGCGAAGGCGGCCCACUGGUCCGGUACUGACGCUGAGGUGCGAAAGCGUGGGGAGCAAACAGG